GACGAACCGUGCGAACGUUGUUCGGAAUCACUGGGCUUAAAGGGCGCGUAGGCGGGCCGCCGCGUCCGGGGUGAAAGCCUCCUGCUCAACAGGAGAAGUGCCCCGGCGACCGGCGGCCUCGAGCGGGGUAGGGGCGCGCGGAACUUCCGGUGGAGCGGUGAAAUGCGUAGAUAUCGGAAGGAACGCCGGUGGCGAAAGCGGCGCGCUGGACCCCUCCUGACGCUGAGGCGCGAAAGCCAGGGGAGCGAACGGG
rnacentral:rRNA from 1 species